UGGGCGAAAGCCUGACCGAGCGACGCCGCGUGCGGGAUGAAGGCCUUCGGGUUGUAAACCGCUGUCGUUGGGGAGGAAGUGCAGGGGGGUUCUCCCCUCUGUUUGACCUAUCCAAGGAGGAAGUACGGGCUAAGUUCGUGCCAGCAGCCGCGGUAAGACGAACCGUACGAACGUUAUUCGGAAUUACUGGGCUUAAAGGGUGCGUAGGCGGCGCGGUAAGUUGGAUGUGAAAGCCCUCAGCUCAACUGAGGAACUGCAUUCAAAACUACCGUGCUCGAGGGAGACAGAGGUAAGCGGAACUCAAGGUGGAGCGGUGAAAUGCGUUGAUAUCUUGAGGAACACCGGUGGCGAAGGCGGCUUACUGGGUCUUUUCUGACGCUGAGGCACGAAAGCUAAGGUAGCAAACGGGAUUAGAUACCCCGGUAGUCUUAGCUGUAAACGAUGAGCACUUGUUUGAAGGGUCCUCCAUAGCCUUUCAGACGUAGCGAAAGUGUUAAGUGCUCCGCCUGGGGA
rnacentral:rRNA from 1 species